rnacentral:rRNA from 1 species
GGAUUAGAUACCCUGGUAGUCCACGCUGUAAACGAUGAGUGCUAAUUCUGGGGGGUUUCCCCGGGGUAAAGCUAACGCGUUAAGCACUCCGCCUGGGUAGUACGAUCGCAAGAUUAAAACUCAAAGGAAUUGACGGGGGUCCGUACAAGCGGUGGAGCAUGUGGUUUAAUUCGAUGAUAACCGAAAAACCUUACCAGCUCUUGACAUGUACAUUGGGAUUUCAUGAAAAUGGGUCUUCAUUUAGUUGGGUGUACACAGGUGUUGCAUGGCUGUCGUCAGCUCGUGCCG